UCCAGAGAUGAGGAGAAGCUUCCCAUCAGUUCACUUCAGGAAGAGCACGAACCUUCUCCCUCACAUCUCCAUCAGCAGCAGCGGGUCAGCUCUGCUGGCUACAGACCUGUUCUCUGUUAUCAAAGUCUGUACCAGGCACAUUAACACAUACGUGCCCAACCGUGGGCAGAUCGAGCCAUCACGGAGAGCUUGAGAUUGGAAGCAGCUGCGGAUCAUGAUGACCCUAAGAUAUGCCUGCUUUGUCUCUGUUAAGGAAUUAGACACAAUACUUUCAUCCUUAAAUCAGGUCAAAAGAAAGAAAGAAAGAAAACGCCUGCAGAUCCUUAGCGGUACGUACUUUCUGGUGCAGUAUUCAACCAUUUAUGGCCUCCUUGCUGUCGGCAGGUGUUUGGUAUCUUCCAGAUAUGGUUUGAACUUGGAACAGUCUUAUGGAAAACUUGAGAUCGUAUAAGAACGGGCUCACAGCUCUCCCCCACACACUGUACCAGAAACUCAUACUGAUGUUGGCUUAUCAAGUUACAGACUAUGUUGGUUCUCAUCAGUCAACAGGUGAGUCAGCAAUCCAGAGAGGUCUCCAAGGACCGGGGUCUGUCCAUCUCGGCGGUGUCUUCUGAGCGGACUUCUGCCUGAGGGUAUUGAGGGUAUUGAGGGUACCCUGAGGAGGGUAAUUCUUCCUGGGCAUUGAAGGCCACUUGGGUUCAGAAGAAAAAAAUCAGGCUUUGGAAGCUUUCUUAGAGGAGCAAGCAGGAAGUUUUCUAGAAAACUCCAGCAGACCCUUUCCGGAAUCUCCUUGGCCCCAACUGUAUCACACGUGUGCUCUUGAUAGAUCGCCGCCAGGAAAAAUGGCCGGGGUCAGCUCCUCCAGUCCCGUGCAAAGUGAGGGGGACAGGAGGCUCAUGAGAAGUCCAGGACCUUUCCUGGGGAGGACUGGGUCGUGGAUGCCGUGGGCAGUGAGCGAUACCACUGAUGUCUAGGAAAACCCCACCAUCUCCCCUCUGCCAGCCUCACCGAAAGAAAACUCUGUUUGUUCCACCCUUAGGUCUGGACGCACAAGCCAUGAAAACAUACCCAUGGAAAGAUAGGAACGAGGAUGCUCAGAGCAGCUCUAACCCUAAUAGCUCUAAACUGGAAACGACUCAAGCAUCCAUCAAUAGGAAAAUUAAUAAAUGAACAGUAGGCUAUCCACGCAGUGGACUAUCACUCAGCAAUAAAAAGGGAGCCACACCAGGCAUGCCACGGCACGGGCAUUAUUAAUUAGAUGCGUCACUUUCAGAAGUAUCCAAGUUCCAAAGCCACCAAAAAAUGGUUGAUCCCGGAUGUGGACCAAAGGUUGGGAGCAAGAGACCAAUGACAGAUACUACAUUCUCAACCUUUUCUGUAUGUUUGGUAAUUUUAAAAGUCAUAUAUUAUUUAGUUUAACAAAACGUUAAGGGUC